CCUCCUUCCCAGCUGUCUUCCAGGCCCUGGGAUCUGGCACAGCCUCCCAGACGGGCGCUUCCUGUAGCUGAGCCACGUCAGGGAGCAGUGGGGACAGGUCACCUCAUCCCAGCAAUGCCGGCUCUCAAAGAGGCUUAGAUGGAAGACCCCAGUCCCUCAUUGAGAGGUGGUGUCCAGGAUCCUGGAGACUGUUUCCUGCUGCAGGAGGUUUGAGCGGGGAGAGAUCACUCACUGUCAUGACCCAGGGGUCUCCAACCCGGGUCUGCAGGGUUCAUGGGAGCAGCCACACUCCAACCCUCCACCUCGAAGCCUGCUGAAAAUUGCUUACCUCGGACCCAUGAAGUUCAGCCCCAGUUUGAGGCUCCACUCCUGAGGUCCUAUUGGAGGAGUCCCAGGAAAGCUCACUGGCCCCCUGGCCCUGCGUAAGACAGCAGCAGGAACACGAAGCUGACUGAACACCAGGCCUGCUCCCGGUUCUGGACCGUGCGCUGCCUGGUUCUGCUGCCGCUCCCCUGGCUUGAUUUACUGGCAUCUGAGUUGUGGUGGUGAUAGCAAGUUGGUCUUUUCCUGCUGAUCUUCCAGUAUCCUGACCUGGCUGACUCUCCACUCCUGUCAUGGCUCCCCAUCCAUCCUGGAGCUGAACACCAGAUGGGAGCUGAUGGAUUGUCCUUGGUGGGCCAUGUUCUUGUGUGUGAUGAGAGGGCCAGGAGCAGAUGCACCACGCCUGGCCAGGACCGGGCUAAACAUCCUGUAAUGCUAGACAGUCAGCCAGUGAGGCCAAUUUGCAGAUUGUGGAAGAGCCCUUUGGCGAGGCAUUGGAGGAUUCACCAUGAAGGUGGCAGCAGCAGCAGUGCCUGGGGUCCCUAUGGGCCAAGCCUCAACUCCUGCCAAUCCAGGCUAAUCUCCCCCUGCUCUCAGUGGGGCUUGGCUUUAGCUGCUGGGCCUGUGAGCCUAGACCAGGGGUCUCAAACUCAAAUGACCACGAGGGCCGGCUGAGGACUAGUUCAUUGGCCCGAGGG